ensembl:lncRNA chromosome unknown C16orf71 homolog
CCUUCUCUCCAUCCCGUGGCCGGCGCAGGCAUGUUGGACGCAGACACAAGAGAAAGCCGUCUCUGAGGCUGCUCCCAUAUUUGUAGCGUGUGUUUAAAAUUUUCUCCCCAUCACCUACCCGGACAUUCCUGCUCUGUCUUUACUCUCUCCUCUCCUUUGUUUAGUGUCACGUCCCGAAGCUCAACUGGAUAGAUUCUACAAUGGCAUCAGAGGCUCAAACGAAGGAGAAAGAGGGUCCCGUUGACCCUCUGCUCCGCUUCCAAUGGCAUCGGAGGCUCAAAGGAAGGAGAAAGAGGGUCCCGUUGACCCUCUGACAGCACCUUUCCAAUGGGGAACAAUCCUGUCUGCAGUAAAAGAUCAGAUCCCCACAUUGGACUCUGACACAUCCGUGUCUGAUGGUGAUGAAGAGGAGGAGGACGAGCUUUUCAUUUUCCAGCGAGAUGAAUCCAACCUCAUUCCUGACUUGACAGAAGAACUGAAAGACUGUCCUCCAGAAGAAUCAGACUUGCAGAAGACAUUUGCAUUCAUGAGACACUCGAGAGAGAUCUGGAAUGAAGAUCAAGAAGGUCCAGAUAACAAGGCCCCUUCUGUGUUUGUAGGCCAAGAUGGCUUUGAUCUUCCGACUGCAGAAAGGUCAAGCCAGCGAGCUAUAUCUCCCAUAAAUGGGAAGAAGCCUGGAGGAGGGAUAUUGGCAGUUCCUGCAGGAGAACAGGAUGUUUUGAAAGACAACAAUAGUCUUUUAUCCCCAGAUAUGUCACCCUCUGUGGAAAUGUCACCUUUUUCAGUACUAAACAUGAGUGUGGAAGAAAGACGGCAACUGAUAGAAACAAGAAUCCUCUCCAAGGCAACUGUGGGACCUCCUCCAGAAGGCUCAGGUCAUCCCAAACCCAAAAACCGUAACAACAAUGCCGAAAGGAGAACGGAGAGAGGAAGUGAACUGGGAACUAUCCCAGCAGAACACCCCCAAGAGUUGAUGCUCGUAGCCUUCAAGGAUAUUGAAAGAUGGGAUUUGGAUAAGGUCCUACAGGAUCUGGAGAAGCAGAGUGGUGAUACGCAUUGGGAUUUAGAAGUGGCUUUUCCUUCAAUCAACCAUGAAACCUGGAGGGCUGUGUCACACGCAAGUCUUAUGAAAAAGCUGGAAGAGUUCUCCCUUCAACAAUCCAGGGCAUUUUUGUCGCAGCAGAAGAGAUGUCUUGCUAAGCUCCCUGAAUUUAGCCAGUGCCAAGGGGACGGGAAGGGUGUUCCCAUCCUGACGCCCCUGGGAAACCACCGAAGCCUGACUCCGAUAGAACUGCAAUGGGCUUCAGAGCCACCCACUGUCUAUAUGGACCUCAGAGAGACAACUUCUCAAAAGCCUGAGUCGGCCUGGAAUGACAAGCAAAGCUCAAGUGACAGCUCCUCGGAUGAUGAGGAAGAUACAGAAGUGAAAGACCCAGAGAAAAUGGAAAGAAAAACGAAGGCAUUAUCCCGGCCCUCACGGGAUUGCACUGGGAAAAGCUUCCUGCUGCAGCAGCUUCGUCACUUCGGCAGAAGAAUGCCCCAGUCUUCAGCUGUUGAAGAAAGGGACGAAAACCUCACAAGUCCAGAAAGACCUGACCUUUCAAGAGACAGAAGCAGCCGCGGCCUAAUACAAAGAGGUCUGGCUUCAGUGGGUCCAACUGACUCAGAAUUAAAUGGAAAGAGCUUCCCGCUGGGGUGUCCUAACGGUGUAGCUAAGCCCCCAAGAGAGGUCAAGAGAGAUGCUGAGGAAGAGCCAUGCCCCAAAUUCCCUCCAGAGACUUCUGCAGACGGAGGAGGAGAAUACCCAAGGGCAGAAGAAAGCCAGAAAGAAAAGCAGGAAGAGGAGAUGCUCAAGAAACAGUAGCUGCAGGAAUGGCUGGAGAAACUAAAGCCUCAGAUACUCCAUUACUGCGAUGCAGCCCAUGGCUGAACAACCCCCCACCACCACAUCUUGUUCCAUGUGGUCCCCAGCACAGGAUAGCAGAACAACAUCUUGUCUUGUUCUUCCAAUUUCUGUCUCAUCUGUUAAAGCAAGAAAGAAAAGCCAACAACAUAUUUCAGGUCUUUCCAACCUGACAAGAGCUACAGUAGGAGUUUCUUCCUCUCCUUUUGCAGCCUUUUAUGAUGCUCAAAAUGUCUAAAAAGUUUUCCAUCCUUUCUGGACUGGGAGAGGGUUGGUUGUUGAUGCACCAGAGGCUCCAGGAGAAAGGUGGAUAUGGGGUUUCACUGACUCUGGCGAAGUAGCAGAUCCCAUAGAAGUAACUAUUCUAUCCUGGCCAAAUAUGCAUUUUGUGCACAUGACUUCUAAUAAAUGCAUUUGAAGAGUUCCCUUAAGAUGAUGC